rnacentral:rRNA from 1 species
GAUUGCGAUCAUACCAGCACUAAUGCACCGGAUCCCAUCAGAACUCUGCAGUUAAGCGUGCUUGGGCGAGAGUAGUACUAGGAUGGGUGACCCCCUGGGAAGUCCUCGUGUUGCAACCC